ensembl:lncRNA
ACACACAGACACACGCACACACAAACUCACAAACACACACACACGAGCAUGCGCAUAAAAGCAGACAGACUGAUAUGCGCACACUCACACACAAACACACACAGACACACAGACACACACACAAACACUGACACCUCCCCAAGGGUUUCCAAGGUUUCCAACACACAUGUUGACAUUUAAAACCGGUCCACUGUUUCCAUUAAACAACUUCUGCUGGCCUCCCGUGCUGCAUAGCUGUGCUGUGGUGUGUUGUAAAUAUUAUGUCGGCCUAAUCACUUUAGCUCCGCAAAGCUAGUGAAAUCCACCCAGAUGAAGGGCCUGACGGCUCCAGCUAUUAAACAGUGGGUGAUAGCCCCUGGCUGAGGACAGCCCCGGCGAGAGCGCUGUAUAUUUUUGGAGCAAGAAGACUACCGGUGGGACGAGUAGCACCAAAUGACGGCGUCUCUCCGGCAGGCUCCACCCCCUCACCGGCAGGCUCCACCCCCUCGCCACGCCCCGCCCGGAGGAACUUCUCCCGCCCGGCCUGCCCCGCCCACCGCCGCCUGCCCUCCCGCUGGGCCAGCCGCUCCCUCCUCCUCCUCCUCCUCCUCCUCUUCU